AAAACUUUAUAAACAAUAAAAUGAAGAUAGCAAACGUACUUUUAUUGUUUAUAAAGUUUUAAGGCCGAAAUUGCAAAAUCAGCCCUUGGAGUCGCAUCCGCCAAAGUGUAACGAAUAUAUUAAAACCAGAAUUAUUAGAAAAUAUUGCUUCUUUGCUUCGAUAUCCUGGAAAAAAAAUCAUGCUAGCCUAAUCGUCCUAUCCUCGUCUCUUCUGCAAUUGUAGUAUCGCGCUCUCUGUCCUUGUCCCGGAGUUUCCUACUUUUUCCGCAACUGUCGCUGAAGUCAACUCGGAGUUUGGCUCUGGCUCCUGCGCACCCUUAAUUAUUACGAUUUCUAUAAUGAUACAUUUUAAUAUUCAUGAUUUUGCGCUGAUAGCCACAAUAAUAGCCAUAGUAAUCCUCCUGUUACCAUGGAUACGACACUGUUAACGGUUCUGGUUGCGCAUGCGCGGAAAAACACGUCCCGACUGCCAUCACUGUGCCCAGGACGUUACGCGUGGGCGCGCAAAAGCCCGUGGGCCCUCGUUGGGGAAGGUUUCGCGCUUCGCUGCUCGCACGAGCUCCCGUAUCUCUUACAUCCACUUUACACGCAACGUUAACAGAACAAACGACGUCGGUCACACUUACUUGCACAUAUCGUGUAAUCGUUGCAUAGCUUCCAGCAGAUCCUCGGAAGUUCUGGCGUCUGCCGCCCGAUCAAGUUGCUUCACCACGGCUGGCCACCAUGGCAGAUCACAAGGGUAUACUAACGAAUAAUUAAUAUACAUCAGACGAGAGACGUUGCGUAACUGUUCGGGGACGAACUAUGAAGAUUAAUUCAGAUUAAUUCAGAUUAAUUCAGAUCGCAAUUUUUAUUAAACAGAUUGGGUUGUAUGUAUUCCGUUAGUCCAUCUCUGACGUUCUUUACGUGCAUGGAAUUGUAUAGAUAUACGCUCGACAGAACACGCGUUUACAAUAGCUAUGGUUCACGAUGUUUAACAUCAACGGCAUAAAUAAACCGGUGCGCCUCGCGUUACACGUAAGAAAAUAGAUCGUCAGUCGGCGAACCGAAUUUUAGAAGGGAAAUCCUCCUUGGCGAUAGGCCCACUAUUAGUUUCACAGUCUAUACGGUAUCGUUCGGUAGAAACACUUCGAUAUCUUCGCUAUAUUAAUAUAUAGAAAGGAAUAUUUAUAAUAAAAAUAACAAAGCGUUAAGAUAUCGAAGGCAACGCUUAUAAUGAUUAAGUAUAUAUAAAAUUGUUCUUUCGAAUUGAAAACUAGGCGUUCCGUUUCUAGCGGACCACCCUUUCUUUGUAUCUACGUAGGCGGAACGAGCGUGCUUGGCAGCCAACAUCUGGACACUUGUUGUGCGAAUCAUGUUUCAACCACUAUCGUGAUACGUUUGAAACGUAUUCGACGAUCCUUCGUAAAAAACCAUUAAAACCUAUAUCAAAUAUUGUAACAUAAACAAAGAUUGCCAUGUAAAACCCAGAGGUAACUGAGAGUCGCUUCGCGAGUGCAAAGGGUUAGUUAUUCCGCCUGAUUCACGAAGCGUUGUAGGAACGUUUCCUUUCUAGUCAAGCGCGAGUAGUGCGAGUUUAAAACAACCGCGGGAGACUAAUGAAUCGUCCACAAAGGCGUGCGUACCUUUACGCGCGAAUUGUCGCGUAAAAAUAAUUAUUCCAUAGUUAUAAAAUGAAAGCAGGUCUCACGGGUCGCGUGGCUCGUUAUCCUUCGUCCCUUGUGUAAAAAUACGCGUUGAUUACUUCGAAAGGAGCCUCGAAUAAUCAACGAGAGAAGAAAUUAUUUCCUUUGCGACUGGAUCAGAUAAUCGGUUUGGUCAUCUGGGAUCUGGAUAAAUGGAAGGAGGGGUGAACGAAUGGAUCCCGGGGUAACCACGCGGAUCAUCGAAACUGCUCGUGCGUCUGGCAGAAGGGGUUGUCCGAUCUGGUUAGUAACCUUUCGACACGAGGAGAAUAUAAUUAGUUUGUCUGUAACGUGCCGGGUAGAAAACUAUAGAAGUUAUCGCAGAGUGGCCGAGAGGGAAGCGCGUCGCGCCCAAGGUAGGGCCACGGCCCCUUCUAAACUACAAUUUACAUAAUCACCUAUUUC